rnacentral:rRNA from 1 species
CAGCUAGUUGGUGAGGUAACGGCUCACCAAGGCUUCGAUCAGUAACCGGCCUGAGAGGGCGAUCGGUCACACCGGAACUGAGACACGGUCCGGACUCCUACGGGAGGCAGCAGUGGGGAAUAUUGGACAAUGGGGGAAACCCUGAUCCAGCGACGCCGCGUGUGUGAAGAAGGCCUGCGGGUUGUAAAGCACUUUUAGUGGGGAUGAAAUGUUCAUGGCUAAUACCCGUGGAUUUUGACCUAACCCACAGAAAAAGCACCGGCUAACUCUGUGCCAGCAGCCGCGGUAAUACAGAGGGUGCAAGCGUUAAUCGGAAUUACUGGGCGUAAAGCGUGCGUAGACGGUUACAUAAGUCGGGUGUGAAAGCCCCGGGCUCAACCUGGGAAUUGCAUUCGAGACUGCGUAGCUAGGGUGCGGAAGAGGGAAGCGGAAUUUCCGGUGUAGCGGUGAAAUGCGUAGAUAUCGGAAGGAACACCAGUGGCGAAAGCGGCUUCCUGGUCCAGCACCGACGUUCAGGCCCGAAAGCGUGGGGAGCAAACAGGAUUAGAUACUCUGGUA